AGAGAGAGAGAGAGAGAGAGAGAGAAAUAUGUCCCACUCCUUUAUCAGCAUCCUGACUACUGAACUAGCCGAUUGAGACACAGCCAAGCUGAAGCAGAUGAAGUCGAGCUGAAUAAGAGCUGAAAAGAACUGAAUAAGAGCUGAAUAAGAGCUGAAAAGAACUGAAUAAGAACUGAAUAAGAACUGAAUAAGAACUGAAUAAGAGCUGAAAAGAACUGAAUAAGAACUGAAUAAGAGCUGAAUAAGAGCAGAACAGGAAAAAGGACGGACUCGUGUCACAGCCGGCGUGUGUCAGGGGGUUAGGGCUGCUUGAGCUCUCAAUCUCACUUGAAAUAAAUAACUUUCCCCUCAGGACCAGUGUCCUUUGGUAGAGCACAGACAAGAGGAAAGUAAAAGAAAUAAGAAAGGCGAGAUGACAUAUCCUGCGUGAUUGUUACGUCCACCUGAGGUGAAAUAACACACAUUAGGUUUUGUCCUUCAGAAGCCCCUGAGGUAAUAAACAACUAAACUCUGACAGCAGGGAAGUUUGCAGUUUGCCCUUUGAUUUGUUUGUGGAUUUAAACCCUCGUGUUUUUUUGUGCACUGCAAAGAAUUGUUCAGUGUUACCGUCGAUCACGGUUUUAUUUAAUUUGAUUGAUUUUUUUUUAUCCCUGACCUUGUCAUUCGCUCACCUGACCUCUGUGUAGCGUUUUCGAUUCUGACUCACAAUCGUCAGCUCGCUCUAUAAAUAAAAGGCUUUACCGCACCUG